UUCCUGAUCCCCACAUGAAUAUUCACCAAC
rnacentral:piRNA from 1 species